rnacentral:rRNA from 1 species
GAUCAUGGCUCAGGACGAACGCUGGCGGCGUGCCUAACACAUGCAAGUCGAGCGGAGACAGUGAGUAGUUUGCUAUGAGCUGUUUUAGCGGCGGACGGGUGAGUAACGCGUGAGCAACCUUUCCCAGACAGGGGAAUAACACACCGAAAGGUGUACUAAUACCGCAUAAGACCACGGAAUCACAUGGUUCUGAGGUAAAAGAUUUAUCGGUUUGGGGUGGGCUCGCGUCCGAUUAGGUAGUUGGUGAGGUAACGG